UACGUAGGGUGCAGGCGUUAAUCGGAAUUACUGGGCGUAAAGUGUGCGCAGGCGGCUGAGCAAGUCGAGUGUGAAAGCCCCGGGCUUAACUUGGGAAUUGCGCUCGAAACUACUUGGCUGGAGUGUGGCAGAGGAAGGUGGAAUUCCACGUGUAGCGGUGAAAUGCGUAGAGAUGUGGAGGAACACCAAUGGCGAAGGCAGCCUUCUGGGCCAACACUGACGCUCAUGCACGAAAGCGUGGGGAGCAAACAGG
rnacentral:rRNA from 1 species